AUUGAACGCUGGCGGCAUGCUUUACACAUGCAAGUCGGACGGCAGCACAGAGAAGCUUGCUUCUUGGGUGUCGCGUGGCGCACGUGUGUGUAACAUAUCGGAACGUACCGAGCAGUGGGGGAUAACUCAUCGAAAGAUUAGCUAAUACCGCAUAUCUUCUGAGGCAGAAAGCAGAGGACCAUUUGGCCUUCCGCUUUUUGCGUGGCCGUUAUCUGAUUAGCUAGUUGGUGGGGUAAAGGCUUACCAAGGCGACGAUCAGUAGCGGGUCUGAGAGGAUGAUCCGCCACACUGGGACUGAGACACGGCCCAGACUCCUACGGGAGGCAGCAGUGGGGAAUUUUGGACAAUGGGCGAAAGCCUGAUCGAGCCAUGCCGCGUGACUGAAGAAGGUCUUCGGGUUGUAAAGGACUUUUGUCAGGGAAGAAAAGGGCGGGGUUAAUACCCCUGUAUGAUGACGGUACCUGAAGAAUAAGCACCGGCUAACUACGUG
rnacentral:rRNA from 1 species